UUAUGAGUUGCAUAUUGUAGAAAGCUCACAGAAGGUUACAACACUAACUCAUAUUCUGAAAACUCCUUGGGUGGUACACAGAGUUUCAUAAGAGGGUCCAGCAAAAGGUUAAGGUCAUGACUUUUGAUUACACAUGCAGGUGAGAGCAAAAGUCACCAUCCCACUUUUACAAAGCCCACUGUUGAAGUCCUGAAUCUAACAAGUAAAUAAAGUACAAAGAUAAAAUUGUGACUUUCAUAUGUGGAUCUUACUACAGGUGAGAUGGUGACUUAUUUCUGGACCCAGAUCACAGGCAUGAUAAUGGGUCUCCUGUCUGAACCCAGCCUAUAAGAGAGAUGUUGACUAUCAUAACGGGGUUUAGGGCAAUAUGUAAGUUUGCGAGUCAAUAUGACCAUGUAGGCCUCAGAGUGGUUUGCAACUCUUAUGCAUGUUGUAUAAAGCUUUCAGAUGUUGUAGAGUGUGUCAUACAAUGACCCAGAAAACAUGUGAGAUUGUAACUCUUAUAUACACACCAAGUUAACAGUUAAAGAUGUCACCCUAAGAGAUGAGGAGAUUGUGUCAUAUCACUAGGCCUAGUACCCCUGUGUUGAGACUUUUUGGCUUAAACUCUUUCCCACAGGUGCGUUGGGAAAUAUUGCUGGGUCAGAAUCAUAAUGUUACUCUUCUGCUUGGACCCAGCCAACAGGGGAUACUAUCACAUAUCUCUGGGCCUAUCAGCUGGGCAAUGUCUCUCUCUUGCCAGUGCCCUGCUCACAGGGGACACAUAUCACUAGAUAUGGCAUGUAGCUAAUGUGACUAUCCUCCUCUGCCUGGAUCCUGCCCACUGAAGAAAUUGUGACAUACCUCUGAGUGCAAAACCUAGGUGAUGUGACUCUCCUCUUUAUCCUGGACUCUGCCAGGAGAGGGAAUUAUAACAUUGCUGAGCCUAGCAUCUAGGGAAUGUGACUAUCCACUAUUUUUUCAAUCCUGCAUACAGUGGGCAUGAUGACAUGUUAUUUGAGACUGUACCCAACUGAUAUGACUCUUCUGACUGGGUCCUGUCUAUAAAGGAGAUUAUACUGUAUCCCUGGCUCAGCACCCAGAUGGUGUAACUCUUCUGUGUUGUCUCUGUCCAAAGGUGAAAUUGUGACAUAUACUUGGAUUCAGCUCAUAUGCACAAUCAUAACUCCCAUACCUAGACCCAGCCAGGGGUGAUAUUUCGACUCUCAUAGCCAGUCUUACGGCCAUGGGUAAAGUCCUAGAUCUCCCACCUGUAAGAAUUUGCAGGAAAGUAUGCUGCCCAGGCAUGUCAUAUAAAGCCUGAGUGGUACAAAGAGUGUCAUAACAGGCACCAGCAACCAGGUGCUAUUGUGACUCUUGGAUGCAUACCCAGCUGACACGAUUAUCAUUCUCACAUAUGAAGACAGCCUACAAAUGAGGUACUAAAUCUCACACACAUAAGCAGUCGAAGCUUAAAAUUGUUACUCUCAUACAUGAAUCUGAUCCACGGGGGGUUUGGUGAUGUUUGAACAAUGAUUUAGCAGACCUGUGGUGCUUUGACUCUCCUACUGGAACACAGUCUUCAAGUGGGAUUGGGACUCUUAUGCAUGGAUCUUGCCCAUUGUUGAGACUGUGACUCCUGUGCUUCGACCCAACUCAUAGGAGGUGUUGACUCUCAUACCCGAAGCCAGGACUUGUGUGGCACUAGGAAACUUUUUUCUGAACAUUUUCAAGUGUGUGAUUGGGAAGUAUGACUUUGCCCAGCAUCUGAGUGUUUGGACUCUCCUUUCUAGGCCUAGAGCACAGUUGAAAUUGUGACAUACGGGGACCAAGCACCUAAGCAAUGUAUAACACCUUCUUUGGCAGUGCGACAAAGGGCACUUUUACAUAUCACUGGGACCAGCACCCAGCUGAUGUGAAAUCUUGGCCUGAACUCUGCCUACAGAGCAUUGCGGCUUUUAUCUAGAUUCAUCAUGUAAUAUUGUGCCAUAUACCAGAGACCAGAUCAAAGGCCUAAUAAGGACUCUUGUACCUGGAGCCAGGACUUGUGCAGGAUGGUGACUCUCAUCCCUGAACAUUUCCACAGGUGUUAUUGUGACAUAUACCUGUGCCCACCUCCUGAGUGAUUUAAUAAUCCUGCCUGUUAUAGCCCACAGAUGACAUAUUGACGUAUACCUGGGCCAAGAACCUUGGUGAUUUGACUCUCAUAUCUUAACAGUGUCCUCAGAAGGGACCGUCACAUAUCUCUGGACCCAUCAUCUAGGUUAUGUGACUCUCCUCUCCUACCUGAACCCUGCUUCCAGUGAAGAGUGUAGCAUUUCUAAGCACUGCAUCCAAAUGACAUGACUCUCUUGCCUGGGCCCUUUUAACAGGAGUUGUGACAUAUCUCUAGGCCCAUCACUUAGGUGAUGCGACUCUCCUUUCCUGCCUGGAUGUUCUCCACAAGAGGCAUUAUGCCAUAGAGCUGAGCCUAGCACCCAAGUUUUGUGACUUUUCUGUUAGGGCCCUGCCUACAAAGAGAAUAUUGGAAUAUUUCUGGCUUAGGAUUUAGGUGAUGUGGUUGUCCUGCCUGUUUAAUAACUACAGAGGGGAUGGUGACACAUACCUAGGCACAGCUAACGGGCAUGAUAAUGACUCAUAUGUGGACCCAGCCAAUAGGAGAAAUUUUGACUCAUAACUAGGUUUAGGGACAUGAGUGAUGUAAAGGGUCUCCUUCUGGUAAAAAGGUCACAGAAGAUUAUAACACACACAUAUUUUAUAACACCCUUGGGUUGUAUAGAGAGUGUCAGAACAGGGCCUAGCACAUGGAGAAAAUUGUGAGUCUCAUAUGCACACCCACCUGACAGUAAGGACUUUCACCAUCACAGAUGGAUGAAGGCAACUGUCCUACAUGAAAACAGAACAUGUGUGGUAUUGUAAAUCUAAUCCCUAAAAUUUUAUUUCAUCGUGAUAGUCAUGUGAUAUAAAUUUCAUGUGAUAUAAAUCUUUGCCAAGCACCUGUGAGAUUUCACUCUUCAGACUGGUUCCAGCCUACAUAUGGGAUUUUGAUAUCUACCUGGGCCAACCUUGAAGUGUUAAAGAACUCUUCUGCCUGGGCCCUACUCUCAGUAAGAAUUGUGACAUCACUGGAUCCAGCACGCAGCUGCACCAUGCCCACAGACAUCAUCGUGACAUAUCUCUGUGUCCAUCACUUAGAAGAUGUAACUCUCCUCUCUGGAAAAGACCCUACACACAGGGCAGAAUAGUGACAUAUUCCUAGGCCAGGCACACAGGUGAUGAUACUUUUUUGCCAGGCCAUGCCCAAAAGAGAACAUUUUGACAUAUCAGAGGGCCUAUCAUGUAGGUGAUAUGGCUCUUCUUGGGACCUACCACUUGAAUAGUGACAUAUUGCUAGGCUAUGCAAAAAGGUGAUGGUACUCUUUUGCCAGGGCCAUGCUUUAAGGAAGGCUUUGUGACAUAUCUCUGGGCCUAUCACCUAGGUGAUGUGACUUCCUGCUUGGCCCUGCCCACAUCGAGCAUUGUGACAUAAGGGUGGAACCUGCACCUAGGUGAUGGAACUCUCUUGCUUGGAUCCUUUUCUAAGGGGGACUGGUGAAUAUCUCUGGACCCAGGACCAGGUGAUGUGGCUCUGCAGCCUGGGUUCUGCCCACAUAUUAAAUUGUGACAUAUACUUAAAGAAGCACCUAUAUGAUAUGACUGUCUUCUUCUGCCUGAGCCCUGCCUACUGGUGACAUUGGACCAUAUCUCUGAGCCCCUGACCUAAGUGAUGGGACUCUCUUCUGUCUGGGCCUUUACAAUGGGAAGAUUGUGACAUGUUGAUGAGCCCAGCACUUCGGUAUUGUGACUCUCGUCUUGUUGCUGAACAAUGCCCGUGAACAGGACUUUUGCCGUAUUUCAGAGCCCAGCACCCAGUUGAUGUUACUCUUCUGCAUAAACAGGUCAUGCAUAAAGAGGGAAUUAUGGCAUAUUGCUUGGCCCAGCCCCCUAAUGAUGUGACUCUCCUGCCUGUGCCAGAGCCACAGAAGGUAUUUUGGCAUAUCUUUGGCCCAUUUUGUAGGUGUUUUGGCUCUCAUCAGUUUGCUGGGUUUCUUCCACGUGUGGUUGUAUCAUAUUGCUGGCUCAAGCCAUCAGUUAAUGUGAGCCUCUUUCCUAGGCCCUGCCUAGAGAGAGCAUUGUGACAUAUUCCUUGGCAAAGCACCUAAGUGAUGUUAACAUUCUGCCUAGAUUUUUUGCCCACAGAUGGGAUUAUGACAUAUACCUUGCUUGAGUUCAAAAGCAUGAUUAUCAAGCUUAUAUUGGGAUUCAGCCAAUAGGAGAUACUUUGCCCCCUACCACUAGGUUUAUGUCAAUAGGUAAGGUCCUUCAUUGCAUAUUUGUACAAAGCUCACAGAAAUUUACAACAUUAACUCAUAUCAUAAAAACUUUUUGGGUGGUACAGAGAGUUUCAUAACAGGGCCCAGCAAAAAGUUAAGAUUGUGACUCUCAACUACACACUCAGGUGAAAGUAAAAGUUGUUACCAUCCUACAUUUACAAAGCCCAUUGUUGAGGUCCUGAAUCUAACAAGUGAAGACAGCACAAAGUUGGAAUUGUGACUUUCUUAAGUGAUUCUGGUCACAGUUGGGAUGGUGACUCAUUUCUGGACCCAGCUCAUAGGCAUAAUAAUGUUCUCAUCCCUGAAGCCAACCCAAAGGAGAGAUGUUGACUGUCAUACCUGGGUUUAGGGUAUGUGUCCACCUCAUAGGUUAUGUAACUCUCCUCUCUGGAAUGGGCCCUGCACAAAGGAAGGAUAGUGACAUAUUGCAAGGCCAGGCACAGAGAUGAGAGUACUCUUUUGCCAGAGCCAUGCCCAAAGCAGGGCAUUGUGACAUAUUUCUGGGCAUAUCACCUAGGUUAUACGACUCUCCUGCUUGGGCCCUGCCAAUCUGGAGAGUGACAUAUUUCUAGGCCAGGCACACAGGUGAUGGUACUCUUUUACCAGGGCUAUGCUUCAUGGAGGACACUGUGACAUAUCUCUGGGCCUAUCACCUAGGUGAAGUGAUUCCCUCCUUGGACCCUACCCACAUGGAGCAUUGUAGCAUGAGCAGAGAACCUGUACCCAGGUGAUGUAACUCUCUUGGCUGGGUGCUGUCCUAAGAGAGCCUUGUGACCUGUCUCAGGACCCAGCACCCAAAUGAUGUGGCUCUUCUGCCUGGUCUCUGCCCACAUGUUACAUUGUGACAUAUUCCUAGGGAAGCACCUAUGUGAUAUAACUCUCCUUGUCUGCCUGAGUCCUGCCUGCUGGGGACAUUGGGACAUACCUCUGACCCCAUGACCUAGAUGAUGUGACCCUCUUUUUCUGCCUCAGCCUUCACAAUAGGAGGAUUUUGACACAAUGCUGAGCCCAGCACUCAGAAUAUGUUACUCUCCUCUUUUUGCUGAACCAUGCCCACAAAAAAGGAAUUUGGACCUAUUGCAGGGCCCAGCAUCGAGAUGAUGUUACUCUUCUGCCUGGGUUCUGCAAAAGAGGAAAUUGUGGCAUAUUGCAUAUUUCUUGGCCCAGCAUUCUUAUGAUGUGACUCUCCUGCCUGUGCUGGAGCCACCGAAUGUAUUUUGACAUAUCUUGGACCCAUUAUGUAGGUGUUUUGGCUCUUAUAACUUGGCUGGGUUUUUCCACGUGAGAUGGUGUCAUAUUGCUGGGUCCAGCACCCAGUUAUUGUGGCCCAAUUUCCUAUACCCUGCCUAGAGAAAGCAUUGUGUCAUGUUGCUUGGCCCAGCACCUAAGUGAUGUUACCCUCCUGCCUAGUUUUUGCCCACAAAUGGGAUUAUGGCAUAUACCUUACUUCAGUUCACAGGCAUGAUGAUUAAACUUAUAUUGGGAUUCAGCAAAUGGGAGAUAUUUUGCCUCUCAUCAUUACGCUUAGGGCAAUAGGUAAGGUCCUGAGUUGCAUAUUUGUACCAAGGUCACAGAAGCUUACAAUACUAACUUAUAUUGUAUAAAGUCUUUGGUGGUAGAGAGUUUCUUAACAGGGUCCAGCAAAAAGUUCAGAUUGGGACUGUCAAUUACACACCCAGUUGAAAUUAAAAGUUGUCACCAUCCCACGUUUACAGUGCCCACUCUUGAGGUCCUGAGUCUAACAAGGGAAUACAGCACAAAGUUGGAAUUGUGACUCUUAUACGUGGAUCUGGCCACAGGUGGGAUGGUGACGCAUUUCUGGACCCGGCCCACAGGCAUAAUAAUAGGUCUUCUCCCUUAACCCUGCCUAAAGGAGAGAUGUUGACUAUCAAACCUGGGUUUAGGGCAAUAUGUAAGAUUGUGAGUCCAUACGAGCAUGUGGGCCUCAGAGAGGUCUGCAACUCUCAUGCAGGUUUUAUAAAGCCCUCAGAUGUCAUAGAGAGGGUUAUACGUUGGCCCAGCACACAUGUGAGAUUGUGACUCUAAUAUACACACUCAGCUAAAAGUUAAAGGUGUCACCCUCAAAGAUGAUGAGAUUGUGUCAUAUCACUGGGCCUAGUACCCAGGUGUUGAGACUUUAUUCCUUAAAUUCCUUUCCAUGGGUGCAUUGUUACAUAUCACUGCGUCAGAAUCAUAUGAAUGUGACUCUUCUGCCUGGGCCCUGUCAACAGGGGAUAUUAUCACAUAUCUCUGGGCCUAUGAGCUAGAUGAUGUGUCUCUCCAGCUUGUGCCCUGGGUUGUAUGUAUCUCCUUUCUAUUCUGGACUCUGCCAAGAGAGGGGAUUAUUACAUAUUUAUGAGCCCAGCAACUAGGUAGUGUGACUCUUCUCUUUUUCUUAAACCCUUUCUAUAAUAGGAUUGGUGACAUACUACUUGAGACUUUACCCAGGUGAUGUGACUCUUCUGCCUUGUCCCUGCCCACAGGAGAAAUUGUGCCAUAUACCUGGGUUCAGCUCACAUGCACAAUAAUAACUCUUAUACCUGGACCCAGCCAGUAGAGAUAUUUUGACUCUCAUAGCCAAUCUUACAGCCAAGGGUAAAAUCCUGGUUCUUCCACUUGUAUAAAGUUCACAGAGGAUUAUGACACAGGCAUAUUAUAUAAAGCCUGAGUGGUACAAAGAGUGUCAUAACAGGGACCAGCAACCAGGUGAGAUUGUGACUCUCGGAUGCACAUCCAGCUGACACGGUUGUCAUUCUCACACAUAAACAGAGCCUAUGUGUGAGGUACUAAAUCUCACACACCAAAAGCAGUUGAAGGUUGAAAUUGUUACUCUCAUACAUGGAUCUGAUCCACAGUAGGUUUCGUGACGUUUGAACUAUGAUUCAGCACACCUGUGAGGCUGUGACUCUUCUACUGGAACACAAUCUUCAACUAGGAUUGAGGCUCUUACACAUGGAUCUUUCCCAUUGUUGAAACUGUGACUCCUGUACUUCUACCAAACUCACAGGAGGUGUUGACUCUCAUACCCGAAGCCAAGACCUGUGUGGGAGUGUGAAACUUAUUUCUUAACCUUUCCAAGUGUGUGACUGGGACAUAUAACCUUGCCCAGCACCUGAGUGAUUUGACUCUCCUUCCUAAACCCAGACCACAGGUGAAAUUGUGUGAUACGUGGAACAAGCACCUAAGCAAUAUAAAACUCCUUCUUAGGUUCUACCUACAAAGAGAAAUUUUACAAAUCACUGGGACCAGCACCCAGGUGAUGUGAAUUUUGUGCCUGAACCCUGCCUUCAAAGAGCAUUGUGGCUUAUAUAUAGAUCCAUCACGUAAGUGAUGUGACUCCCUUCUACUGCCUUGUCCCUGCACUUGUGGUGCAUUAUGACACAUAACUGGGUACUGCACCCAGGUGACAUGACUCUCCUUUUUGAGCUCUGCCAACAGGAAGCUUUGUAGCAUAUCACUUGGCUCAGCACCUAGGUGAUGUUUCUCCUCUCUUGCCUGGGCCUUGACCACAGGGGAGAUUUUGACAUAUUGCUCAGCCCAGCACCAAUGAGAGGGCACUCUUCUGCCUUGGUACUGCACAUAAGAGCCAUUGUGUCAUAUAUCUAGGCCAAUUGCCUAGGUGAAGUGAGUCCCCCUUCUUGCCUAAGCCCUGUGCAAAGGGGGGACUUAGAUAUAUCACUGAAACCAGCAUCCAGGUGAUGUGACUCUUCAUGGGCAGGAACUUACUUCUUAACCUUUCCAAGUGUGUGACUGGGACAUAUAACUUUGCCCAGCCCCUGAGUGAUUUGACUCUCCUUCCUAAACCCAGACCACAGAUGAAAUUGUGUGAUACGUGGAACAAGCAUCUAAGCAAUUUAAAACUAUGGGCAGGUUCCUGCCCAUAAAGAGGUGUUGAGGGAAGUCAGGGACCCCAAACAGAGGGACCGGCUGAAGCCAUGGCAGAAGAACAUGGAUUGUGAAGAUUUCAUGGACAUUUAUUAGUUCCCCAAAUUAAUACUUUUAUAAUUUCUUAUGCCUGUCUUUACUGCAAUCUCUAAAUUGUAAAGAUUUCAUGGACACUUAUCACUUCCCAAUCAAUACCCUUGUGAUUUCCUAUGCCUGUCUUUACUUUAAUCUCUUAAUCCUGUCAGCUGAGGAGGAUAUAUGUUGCCUCAGGACCCUGUGAUAAUUGCAUUAACUGCACAAAUUAUAGAGCAUGUGUGUUUGAACAAUAUGAAAUCUGGGCACCUUGAAAAAAGGACAGGAUAACAAGCAAUUGUUCAGGGAAUAAGAGAGACAACCUUAAACUCUGACCACCGGUGAGCUGGGUGGAACAGAGCCAUAUUUCUCUUCUUUCAAAAGCUAAUGGGAGAAAUAUCGCUGAAUUCUUUUUCUCAGCAAGGAAUAUCCCUGGGAAAGAGAAUACACGCCUGGGGGUAGGUCUAUAGAUGGCCCCCAGGGCGUGGCCGUCUUUUAUGGUCUGUAGACUGUAGGGGUGAAAUAGACCCCAGUCUCCCAUAGUGCUCCCAGGCUUACUAGGAAUAGGAAAUUCCUGCCUAAUAAAUUUUGGUCAGACCAGUUGCUCUCAAAACCCUGUCUCCUGAUAAGAUGUUAUCAAUGACAAUGGUACCCAAAACUUCAUUAGCAAUUUUAAUUUUGCCCCAGGUCCUGUGGUCCAGUGAUCUCGCCCUGCCUCCAUUUGCCUUGUGAUAUUCUAUUACCUUGUGAAGUACUUGAUGUCUGUGACCCACACCCUAUUCGUAUACUCCCUCCCCUUUUGAAAGUCCCUAAUAAAAACUUGCUGGUUUUGCGGCUUGUGGGGCAUCAUGGAACCUACCGACAUGUGAUGUCUCCCCCGGAUGCCCAGCUUUAAAAUUUCUCUCUUUCGUACGCUGUCCCUUUAUUUCUCAAACUGGCCGACACGUAGGGAAAAUAGAAAAGAACCUAUGUGACUAUCGGGACAGGUUCCCCGAUAAAGAGGAUUGUGACAUCUCACUGGACCCACACCCACCCAGGCAAUGUGGUUUUUCUACCUUCUCCCUGCCCACAGGUGAUAUUGUGCCAUAUACCUGAGACCAGUCCUCUUAUACCUGAAGCCAGGACAUGUGCAGAAUGGUGACUCUCAUCUCUGGACCUUUCCACAGGUGUUUUUGUGACAUAUACCUUUGCCCAGCUCCUGAGUGAUUUAAUAACCCUUCCUAGGUCUAGCUCACACAUGAGAUUUUGAUAUAUACCAGGGCCACACUCCGUAAUGAUUUGACUCUCCUGUCUUAACAGUGUCCUCAGGGGGGGGAUUAUAGCAUACCUUUAUACCCAGCAUCUAGGUUACAUGAUUCUCCUCUCCUGCCUGAACCCUGCUUCCUGUGGAGAUUGUAGCAUUUUCAAGCACUGCUUUCAAAUGAUAUGACUCUUGCCUGAACCCUGUCCACACAAAGCAUUGUGACAUACCUCUGGGCCCAUCAUUUAGGUGAUAUGAAUCCCCUCCCUUGCCUAGACACUGCCCACAAGAGGCAUUGUGCCACAGAGCUGGGCCUAGCACUCAAGUUAUGUGAAUUUUCUGCCAGGGCCUUGCCUACAAGGGUAAUAGUGGAAUUUUUCUGGCCCAGCAUUUAGGUGAUGUGGCUGUUCUGUCUGUCUCAAAACCACAGAGGGGAUUGUGACAUGUACCUAGGCACAGCUCACAGGCAUGAUAACGACUCUCAUAUGUGAACCCAGCCAAGUAGGGAAAUUUUGACGCUUGUAACUAGGUUUAGGGACAGGAGUGAUGUCCUGGAUCUUUUUCUGCUAAAAAGUUCACAGAAGCCUACAACACCCACACAUAUUUUACAAACCUUUUGGAUUAUACAGACAGUGUCAUAACAAAGCCCAACACACAGGUGAAAUUUUGAGUCUCAUAUGCACACCCAGCUGACAGUAAAGACUGUCACUGUCUCACAUGAAUGAAGCCAACUGUCAUACAUAAAAACAGGACAUGUAUGGUAUAGUAAAUCUCAUUCCUGAAAUUUUCUGCCAGUGUGAUUGUCAUAUAAGUUUUUGCCAAGUGCUUGUGUAAUUUGACUCUCCAGACUAGUUCCAGCCCACAUAUGGGAUUGUGAUAUUAUUUACCUGGGCCAACCUCUACGUGAUGUAACUUUUUUUGCUGGCCCCUUCUCUCAGUAAAGAUUGUGACAUAUCACUGCAUCUAGCACCCAGGUGAUGUUACAUUUUUGCCUGCACCAUCGUGACAGAAAUCAUUGUGACAUAUCACUGUGUCCACCACUUAGGUGAUGUAACUCUCCUCUCUUGAAUAAGCCCUGCACACAGGGAGAAUAAUGACAUAUGUGUAGUCCAGGCAGAGAGAUGAUGGUACUCUUUUGCCUGGGCCAUUCCCCAAGGAGGGUAUUGUGACAUAUCUCUGAGCAUAUUACCUAGGUGAUGUGACACCCUGCUUGGGCCCUGUCCACAUGGAGCAUUGUGACAUAAGGGUGGAACCUGCACUUAGGUGAUGUAACUCUCUUGCCUGGGUCUUGUCCUAAGGUAGCUUGUGACAUAUCGAAGACCCAGCACCCAGGUGAUGUGGCUCUUCUGCCUGGUUUCUGCCCACAUGUUACAUUGUGAUAUACACCUCGAGAAGCACCUAGGUGAUAUGAUUUUCCUUUUCUGCCUGAGCCCUGCCUAUUGGGGACAUUGGGACAUAUCUCUGAGCCCAUGACCUAAGUGAUGUGACUUUCUUCUUCUGCCUGGGCCUUUACAAUGGGGGAAUUGUGACAUAUUGCUGAGUCCAGCACUUAGGUAAUGUGACUCUCCUCUUUUCUGAACCAUGCCCACAAAAAGGGAAUUUUAACAUAUUGCUGGGCCCAGCACCCAGAUGAUGUCACUCUUCUGCCUGGGUCCUGCAUAAAGAGGGAAUUAUGACACACUGCUGGCCCCAGCACCCUGAUGAUGUGACUCUCCUGCAUGUGCUGGAGCCACAGAAGGUAUUUUGACAUAUCUUGGGCCCGUUCUGUAGGUGUUUUGUCUUUUAUCUCUUGGCUGGGUUUUUUCCACAUGUGGAAUUGUGUCCUAUUGCUAGGUCCAGCACGAAAUUAAUGUUACCCUCCUUCCUAGGGCCUGCCUAGAGAGGGCAUUGUAACAUGUUGCUUGGCACAGCACCUAAAGGAUAUUACCCCCCUGCCUAGUUUUUUGCCCACAAAUGGGAUUAUGACAUAUACCGCGCUUCCAUUCUCAGACUUGACAAUUAAGCUUAUACUGAGAUUCAAACAAUAAGAGAUAUUUGCCUCUCAUAGCUAGGCUUAGGGCAAUAGGUAAGGUUCUGAGUUGCAUAUUUGUACAAAGCUCACAUAGUUUAAAACAUGAAUGUGUAUUGUAUGAACUUUUGGGGUGGUACAGAGAGUUUCAUAACAGGGCCCAGCUAAACGUUAAGAUUGUGACUUUCACCACCUCUUAUGAUGGCGCUUGUCUUUCAUGUGCAUCUGAUUCACAUCUUUAACAAUUGUGUUCAGAGCCCCUGCUUCCUUUCAGACAGAGGGUACAGAAAGUGCAUUUCUCCCAGGAGCCCAGGCUUUACUCACCUCCUCUGUGAAGCUAAAGACAAAAGUGCUACAGAGCUCAGAGGCUGCUUUAUACAGAGGUUUUAUAUGCACAAAACUGAGUCUUGGUGUGUGGAUUGGUCUAAAUUACAUUUUGAAUUUAUUUUCUCUCCCAAUACCUGUAAAUCUGGUGUUUGUAAAAUAAUAUCUGUGCCUUUUUUGGUGCUGGCCAUUCAUUCCAGAAAGUUUGUAUUGCUUUCCAUAUGGAUUUUCAAGUUGCUACUGAUUGCUUUGGGUGCAAUGCUCUAACAUAUGAAGGUGAACUUUUGUGAUUGGUGACCUGGUAUUGUGUUUUUAACUAACUUCAAUUCUCACAGUAUUAAUCAUAAUUCCAAGAAGACUAUUUUAUGAUAAUAUUUAUGGACUUUGAAAAUCUGACAUAAAGUCCCCUGUUUCAGCAGCAAGUAAACAUUAAUUUUUAAAGGUUAGUGUUUUUAGAAACUUCUGCUAAACAACAAUCUGAUUAUUGUUGUUGGAAUAUAACCCAGGUAUUAUUACAGCAGCUGCCCACUGUCAGUUUUGUGAUAUAUAAACAUAUCUUUAUGUAAUAAUUUUAUCUAUAACUUUAAGAUUUUUUUCUUAUAUUUUUCUUAUUUUUCCAAACAGUGCUGGCAUAUUUUUGGAUAUAUUACACAAAAUGUAUGACAAAAUUCUAAAUAUUUAAAAGACCUUGGCUUCCUGACCAGUGUAAAUUUGUAUUUUUUAUCUCCAUUUUAAACUGAAUUAUAAAUUUCUGUGUAAAGUUCUGUAAUUAUUUUUUCAAAAAUAUUUGCAAUGUUUUUGUCAGAUAAAUAAAAACUAAUAGUUUGGGUAUCAGA